rnacentral:lncRNA from 1 species
AUUCAUUUAGCACAUUUCUUUUUGUGUCAUUUUAAUUUUAUAGAAUUUUCAGAAGCCAGUGAAUAUAGAUCCUAUAGUAAGACUCACAUGUAUAUUUGGGAAACACAAAAUACUUUUUAGUCAUUCAACAUCAGAUGUACUGACAGGUAAAUUUGAUGAAGAAAGUAGUAUUUUAGCUUAAGAAGAGAAUUAUAUUAGAAAAUAAAUUGCAUAGUCCCAGGUAUGUGACCUUCUAUACACUCCCAUUUUGGCUAUUGUUGUACUUUUUUUGUACUUUUUCUCUUCGAAGUGUGUAAAUAAAAGUUUCUUCAUAUUUAUUCAUCAUAUUUUCUUCUGUAGAACCACCUACAAAUACAUUUUCUGGAAUAUAUUAAAGGAAAAAAAGCAAAGAAACUACACGGCAUCAAAAUACAGCAGUACAUAGAUCUUUGGGAGAGAGACAUGGAGUACAGAAGAGAA